GACGUAGGGUGCAAGCGUUGUCCGGAUUUAUUGGGCGUAAAGAGCUCGUAGGCGGCUUGUUGCGUCGACUGUGAAAACCCGCGGCUUAACCGCGGGCUUGCAGUUGAUACGGGCAGGCUAGAGUUCGGUAGGGGAGACUGGAAUUCCUGGUGUAGCGGUGAAAUGCGCAGAUAUCAGGAAGAACACCAACGGCGAAGGCAGCUCGCUGGGACGGAACUGACGCUGAGGCGCGAAAGCGUGGGGAGCGAACAGG
rnacentral:rRNA from 1 species